UUUUCUUGAUACUAUCAUAUUCAAACCCAAAUUAUGAUAGUAUAAAUAUACGCAAUUGCCAUGUUGCAGGACAGAUGUUUCAGAGAUGCCAAAUAGCAAGUUACAGUUGUCAUUGUUACAGAAUGAUAUCAAAUUGCAAAUAACAAAAUGAGGAAAAAAGGUACACCAAAAACAAAUUUUGCUGAAUGAGCAGUUCCAAUCAGAAUGGCCCCAACUGACUUACAGACAGAGAGACGAUGGACUGAUGAACCGCUUGUCCUCCACCAUGGGCUCCUGAAUACUAUUGAUUGCCUUGUCUCAGAGGAGACAGAAGAAUGCAUUAGCACCCAAGUUGCUCACUGCCACUGGAAACAUAUCAACUUCGUGUAUUAGGCACCCUGUCUGGUUUCUAUGGUGACGGAUGGAGGAUGGACGAAGUAAUGAGUGAAAAAUUGGGGGGUGUAUGGGAGGAGAAGGAAAAGGAGGAAUAGGGGGGUUGGGGGAUAUGGGAUGCAAUGGAACUGCCUUGGGGCAUAUCGUCUUUCUUGCUCACCAUCUUUCUUACACACACAAAUAGACUGGCUGGUUUCUAAUCUAUACAUUAUACCUACUUCAUAAAGACAAAAUGUGCUUUACCCUUUUGUGUGCUGUCAUGUUGUAAUUUGCAGUGGUCAUGGUCAUGAGAUUCCUCCUCCAUUGUUUCAUUUGAUUAUCUGCUAAAUUAUAGACUUUCUUUUAAUGUUUGGCUAAUAUGUUAUCAAAUUCUAGUCUCCCACAGAAAUGCAUGCACACCUGCCACUACAAGCACAAACCCUGACACAUCUGUGUUCCUCACUCAUUCUCCCUCUGUCUCCUCUCCCUAUCUUGGUUUGCAGAAAAACAGAAAAAAAUGGUGCAUUGUGAGAGGGUUCUGAGACAAUGAGUUAAAGACAUGGCUAGCAGAGAAAAGUAGAUCAAUGUGUUCACCUUUCCUCUUCUAGCUGCUCUGUUUUAGAACAAGAAGUUGCAUUGUAUAAUUUACACAUCCACAACACAACAAAUUUAACUUUGUUCUCUUGAACAUUGUACUUUUUGGAUGUUGUACUCUUUAGUUUUGUUAAAACAUGAAUCAAAUGCAGGCUGACUUUAUCCCUUAUCCCUACCUGUAACAUUUAAAAAUUUCAGUAAUUAAAAUCCAAAAUACUUUGUGAUUUAAACAUCACAGAGAUUUUGAAGAAAAGUUCACUUACUCCUUGAGCAUAACAUCAUUAUUCUGCAGAACUCUUUCAUCUGUAGGUUUUUGCAUUAUGAUGAAAUAGUGAUAGAAAGUUCUAAGGAUUUCAAAUGUAAACACAAACAAAUAAGCAAUGUUUGGAUUUGUUGUCAGGUUACUAUUUUUAAUGUCAUUUUUUUGCGUAGGAUUAAGUUGUUACCAGUGCUUUAUAGAUCCAGAUGACAGUGUCCGUCUGUGCUGGGGUCACAUUCUCAGUGAAUAUAACAUUCGUAAUAUAGAUGCCUGUUUCAAAACUCUGGAUAGAAUAUUCAACAACGAUCCAAGCGUAAUCAAGGCAGCUAAAGUAGGAAGAGGCUAUGACACAGUACUAAAAGAGAUUUUGAGGGCUGAAAUCAUGCCUAUUGUGGAAGAAUUUCACCAGAAUAUGAAUAAUGACACAGUGUAUGAAGUUAGGUUGCAAGCUGCUGCAGACACUUUCAUCACAAUGGCCUCUGGUCUGCCUAGAGCUUCUGGAUGUUUCCCCCCUUGUGGUUUUCAGGCUCACGGCACUGUCUAUAACUGCAUGACUUGUCAGUAUGACUCAUGUGAAUUUCCCCUGGAUUGCCCAUUGCAGGAAAUCACUGUGGAGGAAAACAACAGAACUCAGAUGUGGUGUCAUGUGCCAUUUAUUUUGCCAAGUGACAUACAGAUAGUUUGGAGGUAUGCAGAGAUCAAGACACUGUUGAUGGAUCAGUUUGAGGAGGUGACAGUUGGCAUGGAUAAGCUCUUCUCCAUACCAUCGGCCCGACUGGAGCACUCGGGCACAUAUCAGUGCGAGAUCUUUUCUCAGGAACGCUCACUGGUCCGCAUCUACUAUCAUCUUACAGUUGUUCCUAAUGAGGUAGUUGGUCAUGCAGAACUGCAGGAUGUGUUUGAUAAGGCUCUCCUACCUGCAGGACAGUUCCUACUUUCGGCCUCUAUACCUCCAUUUUCACUGCUGAGGCUGCCUAGUCCAGACCUCCUCACCAUCUGUCUGACAUCACUGCUAUUGCUGCUGUUCCUCACUCUAGGACGAUGAGGAGGACGAUUCCUCAAGCUGUCGCCGGCACCCCAGACUGUCUGCCUGCUGCCUGCAGAGCCCCUUCGGUCCUACCACUGCCACACGGCCAUUUCUGCACCGUGUCCUUUCCAGGGAGGACCACAACCCUGAUAUCCAGCACCAGACUCACUCUCCCACAGUGCCACCCACUUACACUUCCCCCAUCUGUGAAUGAAGAGCAAUUGGUUCACCCCAAUUCCCUCUCUCUUGUGGUUCAUGCUCAGCCCUUCGCACAUGCAAAGCACUAUACUGGUGGAGAAUGCGGGAGUGAGCAUGGACCCCAGCCACAGCACCACAAUGGAUGUUCUCCAGCACCUGCUACAGACCAGCCUCCAGCAGCAGGCUAUGACCCAGGAACUAGCCCAGGGGCUAUGGCUCACCACCCAAGAGCUGCUGGCUCUCCAAUAGGGCCACUCAGCCACUGCCAUCCCUCUCCCCGACCCCUGCCAAGAGGCCUCACGCCUCCUCACCAAGAUGACGGGGGACAAUGAUGUUGAAGCCUACCUCCACACCUUCGAGCAUACGGUGUUCCGGGAAGGGAGGCCAGAGGAAGAUUGGGCUUGCAUCCUGAUCCCUUUACCUCUCUGGGCCCAGCUGGCCUACCAUUCCAUGGACCCCCCUGAGGCCGCCAAAUAUGACCAGCUGAAGGGCGAGAUCUUAACAUGCUGCGGGCUCUCCUCGACCAGUGCAGCGGCAGAGUUUCAUCACUGGGCCUAAAACCCCAAGAGCAAUCCUAGAGGUCAAAUGGACCAUCUGCUCCGCAUCACCAAGAGGUGGCUCCAGCCCAAUCGGUGUACUGCUACGGAGGUCGUCGAGCGGGUGUUGAUGGAUCGCUUCCUAAGGGCUGUGCCACCCAAAGAAAGGAAAGUCUUGGGCAUGCGGGGAUCUCAAAACCCCGAGAGAUGCUAGAGGCUUUAGCCACCUUGCCCUAGCCACCCUGGAACUUGGCAGGGGUGAGUGGUGUGAGUUCAUCAGGCCACUGCCUACCUGGCACCUAGCCCCACCAUGCUGCGGGGAGAGGAGGCUGACUAACCGCCCCACAAGACAAGCCCAUGCCUACUGAACUGGACACCACCACCACCAAAGUGGAAAACCCCUGGCUAGACAACUGCGCUGUCCAUAAGGUGCCCCUGCCCUGCUCACCAAUGGUUCAGUUUUGAGUCGGUCGGUCUCUGCUCUUAUGGACUUGGGAAGUACUGUAACCGUCGUCUGCCCUUCUCUCCUCACCAACCCACCAGCGGAGAAGGGUGUACAUAUACAUGGCGAUGUCCGGGAGGUUCUGGCCACCAGGGUCCUCAUGCAAAGUCAGGCCGGGGAGUGGUCAAUCCUGGUUGGCCAAAAGAAAGGAAAGUCUUGGGCUACCUGAGCUACCAGUGCCCCUUCUUCUCGGGCGAGACUGGCCUUCACACUUUGCCAGGGAGGGGGAUUUUGGAAGAGAGCAAAAGGGCGAUGAUCGGCUAAAGCACUGCUGGAGCCAGGUGCAGAUCAUCGAGGGAGUCCAACAAGACCCAGACCAGUGCCUGCUGGCAUCCUACUUCCUGGUCUGCAUGGGCCUCCUCUACUACCACACGGAAUGGAGAGGACAACCCUGUGACCUCCUGGUGGUCCCCCACUCCAGAACGCCGUCCCUCCUGCACCUGGCCCACUCCCACACUCUGGGUGGCCUCCUGGGGGCCUGAAACACCCUGGAAAAACUAUGUGACCGCAGAGGACGGCCUACAACCGUCCAGCCCAGCCCCAGGAAUUCCAGCCAGGAGACCAGGUCCUCCUCCUUCCCAGCACCUCCAGUAAGUUCCUGGCCCACUGGCAAUGCCCGUACAUGGUGCUCGAGAGGGUGGAUCCCAUGAACUACCACCUGCAGCAACCAGGUAAGAGAGCAGAUACCCAGCUUUACCAUGUUAACCUGCUGAAGAAAUGGACUGACCCAGCACCUCUGGUGUCUGCUUUCAUGGGUCUUCCCACAGAUCCCCCAGAGGGUACCUUGGUCCACUGAGGAGACGAGCUUACCCCAGCCCAGAGCCAGGAGCUCUUGGAGGUGGUGAACCAGUUUUUGGAUGUCUUCUCCUCCACCCCUGGCCUGACCCAUCUGGUCCACCAUGACAUCAAGACCCCUCUGCCAGGUCCACCAGCAGCCCGUCGUCAGGCUAUUGAGGAGGAGGUCAGCCGGAUGCUCCAUGACCGGGUCAUCAAGGAGUCCACUAGCCCCUGGUCCAGCCUCAUCGCCAUGGUGCCCAAGCCUGACAGAAGCAUCCAGCCGUGCAGUGACUUCUGGCGGCUCAACCAGGUGUGGGACUUCAACAGUUACCCCUUCCCUAGGGUGGAUGACCUGGUGGAGUGAAUGGGGAGGGCCCGAUUCAUCUCCACCAUCGACCUCACAAAGGGAUAUUGGCAAGUGGCCCUCAGUCCAGAGGCCAAACCAAAGACAGUCUUCUCUACCUCCUGCAGGCACUGGCAGUACCGGGUCCUCCCCAUUGGGUCUCCCCUCCCCAGCAACAUUCCAGAGGUUAAUGGACAUUGUCCUGUGGCCCCACCACCAGUACACUGCGGCCUACCUAGAUGAUGUGGUGAUACAUUCCUCCACCUGGUCCGACCACCUGCACCAUCUUAGGGAGGGCAUGAGUGAGCUUCAGAAAGCUGGGCUAACCACCAACCCCUGAAAAUGUCAUCUGUGGCUCACGGAGGCACAAUACCUUGGGUACCGCAUCGGCAGAGGGCUCCUCAUGCCACAAAAAAUAAAAAAAAAAACACAACCGACCACCAAAAAAUAUGUGCGUGCUUUCUUGGGGUUGGCAGGGUAUUACAGAUGUUUUGUGCCCAACUUCUCCUCGAUUGCCUCUCCCCUCUCAGACCUCACAAGGAAGUCGGAAGCUGACCCCUGCCGAAAAGAAGUAUGCCACAGUGGAGAGAGAGAGGCCCUGACUAUCAAGUGGGCCAGUAGAGGAGCUCCACUACUACCUGGCAGGUGUCCCUUUACUCUGGUCACAGACCACGCUCCCCUCCAAUGGAUAGCCAGUGCUAAGGACUCCAACACUCGGGUAACAUGGCGCCACUUCAGCACCACCUGUGUUGUGGAGAACACAGGAGCGUGUGGCUGCCAGGGGCGGGGUAAUCAGGCAUGGCUGGCAGCUAAUAAGGGCAGUGGCAGCUCCCUACCAUCUUGGAGACGAUGGUGGGAGUAUAAAAACGGCCUGCAGCCAGGGAAGACAGACACACUUGGGCUUAUGCCCGUGACUAACCCUCUUCUCUGUUUAUUUUCCCUAGACGAUGAGGAGGACAAUUCCCCAAACUGUUGCUGGCUUCCUGCUGCCUGCAGAGCCCCUUUGGUCCCGCUGCCACAGCCGUUCCUGCACCUCACCCUGUCCAGGGAGGACCACAACCCCGAAAUCCAGCACCAGACUCACUCUCCCACCCUGCCACCCACUUACCGUUUCCACACCUGAGAAUAAAGAGCACUUGGUUCACCCCAAUUCUCUCUCUCUUGUGGUUCAUGCUCAGCCCUUCGCAAAUGCAAAGCACUACUGUUUUCUAUGACUCUCAUAAUGUUGGGGCUUCCAAUGUAGUAAGGUUGGUCACUAUUAUACAGAAGAAGCUCUGUGAGCUGUCUAAUGAUGCCAAGUAAGACCAAAUGCAUGUAGUCUGGAACAAAGCCACAAAUAAUAUCAAAACAUGUUUAUAAGGGGAGAGGGACCCUUUACUCCUCUCAUACUACUGUUGUUAGCUAAUGCAAGUUCCAUAUCAGGCAACAUUACUUUGGCAUCUCUGGCUGCAUAUUCAGUUGUUGUUGCUGUAUACUUCACCUGGCGGUCUACUAGGGUACCAGGAUGCAGGCAGAAUCCACAAAGUACCCAUUAAAUUGUGUGGUGUAUGGCUGGUCUGGCUUUUGAAUCCACACAACGACAACAACACAAGUUUACUAGUUAUGCAUUCUUCUAUUCUCCAAGUCACACCUUUGUACACUAGAUCUUUGGCCUGAUCAACAAAAAGGUUUGAGAAAAAUAUGCAUAACUGGUUCCUGGGCCCCAAACCAGAGGGCUGCCAACAUUCAAUUCAAUUCAAUUCAAUUUUAUUUGUAUAGCACUUUUAACAAUGAACAUUGUUACAAAGCAGCUUUAUAGAAAUAAAGGGAUUCACAAAAAAAUAUAUAUUGUAAAUAUGUGAAUUUAUCCCUAAUGGACAAGCCAGAGGAAAAACUCCCUAAGACAAUAUGAGGAAGAAACAGAAGACAGGCUCAAAAGGAAGCCCAUCCUCAUCUGGGUGCAACAGAUAGUGCAAUUAUAUAUAAAUCCCUUCUAUUUUUGUGUACUAAAUGGACAAAUAGCGCAGUUGUGCAACCAGUAAAUUCAUCAUAGUUUUCACAAGAUGUCUGGUUGGUUAAAAUCUAUCCACUGUCCACUGAUGGAGUCCUGAGUACGAUGGUGCUCAGGGCAACUGCAGCCCCAAAGCCACUACAGCAAUCGCAGUCCCAAGCCAUUACAGUACAGCUCCCCAUAUGUGAUCCCCAAGCCAUCUCCACAGCCCCCAGGUGGCACCAUCCCCAGCAAUCCAAACAGUUCUUCAGGCCAUCCAUAUGGGGCCACCCCCAGCAGCAGCGAGCGAACUCAACCGAUGAGAACUCCAACCAGAAGGAGGGCAUCAGUAUGGGUCAGGCAGGUCUGGGGAGCAGAAGGGGCCAGGAUCACUGGCAUCUCAGAAGUAGCAUAUGUAGCUCGACAGAGAGUGAGGGAGAGGGAGAUGGAGAGAGAGGGAGAGAUUGUCAGGUAAGCUUUUGUCCUCUAAUGGUUAAGGACAAUGUACUUUGCAUGCAUAGUGCAAGCAGGGACUCCGGCAAGACUAGCUGUGACAGUAUUACUAAAAGGGAGAGCCAGAAGCUAACACAGACAUGAGGGCACCCUGGGACAUAAGGCAGCCAGCCACUCCACCGUCGACAGACCUGAGUGAACGUGUGAGAGUGGGGGGGCGACAGCAUCCAAACAUCCCACUUCACCACAACACUAUGCCUGUGAACCCUCCAGACCUGCCCUGGUACCUAAGAAAAAACUAUUCACAAAAGGCUUGACUAAACAAAUAUGUUUUCAGCCUAGACUUAAACACUGAGACUGUGUCUGAGCCCCGAACACUAAGCAGAAGGCUGUUCCAUAACUGUGGGGCUUUGUAAGAUAAAGCUCUACCCCCAGAUGUAGCCCGCACUAUUCAAGGUACCAACAUUAGCCUGCACCUUUUGCUCUAUGUAGGUAUGGUGGAUCAUAAAAGACCAAAAGUUUGCUCAGGUACUGAGGCGCGAGACCAUUUAGUGCUUUGUAGGUCAAUAGUAGUAUUUUAUAAUCGAUACGAAAUUUGAUUGGGAGCCAAUGCAGUAACAAAAGCAUGAACUAAUUUUUCUGCAUCGUGUAGUGAUAUUUCUUAUUUUAGCAAUAUUUCUGAGAUGAAAGAAAGCAAUCCUAGUGAUAUUAUCUACAUGAGCUUCAAAAGAAAGACUAGAAUCGAUAAUCACACCAAGGUCUUUUACUGCUGCACAUGAUGAAACAUAAAUGCCAUCCAGAGUUAUUAUGUAAUCAGAAAGCUUACUUCUAACUGCAUGUGGUCCUAGUACAAGUACUUCUGUCUUGUCAGAAUUAAGUAAGAGAAAGUUAAUAAGCAUCCAGUUUCUAAUGCCUUUUACACAUUCCGCAACUUUAUGUCAUCUGGCUUUGCUGAAACAUACAACUGUGUGUCAUCAGCGUAACAUUGGAAGCUAAUACCAUGUUUACGAAUAAUUUUGCCCAGAGGUAGCAUAUAUAAAGAAAAGAGCAGUGGGCCUAAAACAGAGCCUUGCGGGACAUCAAACUUUACCUUAGUAUGCGAAGAGAAGUCACCAUUUAUGUUUACAAACUGAUAAUGAUCAGUCAAAUAAGACCUGAGCCAGGAAAGGGCCAUUCCCUUAAUGCCUACUACAUUUUCUAGUCUAUCGAGGAUAAUAGCAUGAUCAAUGGUAUCAAAAGCUACACUAAGGUCCAGCAGCACAAGCAAGGAGACACAACCCUGAUCAGAGGCCAGUAGUAAGUCAUUUACCACUUUAACCAGUACUGUCUCUGUGCUAUGAUGAAGCCUAAAUCCUGACUGAUACAUUUCCUGAAUGUUAUUCCUAUGUAAAUAUGAGCAUAGCUGCUGUGCUACAACAUUUUCUAGGAUCAUGGAGAUAAAGGGGAGGUUUGAUAUUGGUCUAUAGUUAGACAGCUGACAGGGGUCAAGGUCAGGUUUUUUAAUCAAGGGCUUGAUAACUGCUAAUUUAAAAGAUUUAGGUACAUAGCCAAUGCUAAGGGAAGAAUUGAUUAUCUUUAAAAGAGGUUUGAUUGUUUCAGGAAUUAUCUGUUUGAAGAAACAUGUUGGUAAGGGAUCUAGUCUACAAGUUGAUGAUUCUGAUGGUGAAAUUAUUGAGAUUAGUUCAGUCUCUCAAAGGGGAGUAAAAUAUUCUAAUCGUUGAUCUGAUAUUAUUAUAUUAUCAUAUACAGGGUUAGUUAUAAAACUGUCCGGUUUUAAAUUAAUAGACUGAAUUUUUUUGCCUGAUUACCAUUGAAAAAAUUCAUGAAGUCAUCACUGCUAUAUAAUAAUUGUGUGCGUGUUUCUAUUGUGGUCUUUAUCCUAGUUAAUUUUGCUACAGUAUUAAAUAAGAAUCUAGGAUUAUUUCUGUUAUCUUUAAUUAGGGUGGAGAGAUACAUUGAUCUAGCAGCACUUAAAGCUUUCCUAUAGCUCAAAAGUCUCUCCUUCCACGCUAUCUGAAAUACUACCGAAUUAGUUUGACGCCAUCUACGUUCUAGUUUUCAAGUGGUCUGUUUUAAAGUUUGUGUGUGAUCAUCAUACCAGGGUGCUAGCUUUUUCUCCCUAAUUAUUUUUUUUUAAAGUGGAGUUACCUUAUCUAGCGAGUUGCAGAACGUUGAUUCUAAGCAGUCAGUUGCCUGGUCAAGUUCUUCGGGAUCAGACGGUGAUCCAAUCAUGGUUGAUAAAUCUGGCAGAUUACUGAUAAAACUGUGCAGUUGUUGACGUGAAAGUACGUUUGACACGGUGACAUGGCAAGGUGCAUAUAUUAUGAUUAAGAUACAUUUUAAAUGAGAUGAGGUAAUGAUCUGAGAUAGCUUCAGACUGUGGAAAUGAGUCUAUAUUUUCUAUAUUUAAUCCGAAUGCUAGUAUUAAAACAUCACAAUCUGGAAUUGAAUUUUGAGCGGGAGCUCAUUCAAGUGGAGUUGUAUAGGCCAAAUUGAAAAUUUCGAAGAAUUGUACAGGGGUGAUCCAUCUGAAUUAAAAUUAAAUGAGAAAUUGUUUGGGUCUGACAGAACUUCACCUGCUUUUGACAACUGUGCACACAUGUCACAAUCAUAUAUGUCAGAGAUGACGUGUUCAAUUGACUUUGACCUUUCAUAUCUGUAGGGUUUAUCAUUUGAAAUGUGAGGAUUUUGUAGUAGUGCCUGGAUUUGAGGUGCAAUUGGUACAUUGAUGAAAAAACUAGCGCUGUUCAGGGUACUGAUUUCUAUGGGAUCACUACACUGGAGCCACUUUGUAAUAAUUUUGUCUAUAACAUUUUGUUGAGUACCAAUGUAUGUUUUACAGGAUUUACAAUAAAAGUGAAAUUCAAGAGUAUUUAUAAGUUUUAACAAAUUGUGUAGUUGAGUCCCUGAAUGUUAUGAAAAAAAGAACUAACCCCCUUUCAUCAAACUGCAUUUUGACAGUUCUAUCGUCCCUCCCCUUUUUAUCCAAUCAGAGCGCACUGUGGCGGAAACUCUCGCCCCCCUUUCGACUGAUGAGAUUCUUCUUUUUUUCCAGAUGUCCCGCCCCGAUCCCCCUCCCUAAUUUUUGUGGGUCUGUUCACACGCAUCUGUGUUCCGUGCGGGGGUCCGUUCACGCGCUUCAACACCCUUUCUCUCUCACCCCCCUCACCCCCGGUCUGGGGUCCGUGCAAGUUAUCAGGCCAGCGCACGAGGUCGGAUUUCAGGCGGCUAGUGUCAUGCCGUUCUGCUCUUAAACUUUAGCUAAUAUUUAAUACAUCUUAGAUAAAUUUGGAUUAAAGCUAGCAAAAAUUCACCAAUUGAAAGAGUUUAGCAAAAAAAAAAACACAGUGCUUAGCAUCAGUUAGGUUAGUCUCGCUAUUUAUAUUUAGCCACGUUUUACCAAGAAACAUAUGGGGAACAUUUAAUGCACAAUGUACAAAUUAUUUAUUUGUUACUGCUGUGUAUAAGUGAUUUAUUUGAAGCUAGUCAAAGUUGAUGGUCAUAGUGAUGAACUUUUUUUUCCCGUGUAUUGUGCGAUUUCGGAUCUUUUAUUAAUACUUUAUUUAUUUAUUUUUGUAACAUAAACGGUAUCCCUGUUAUAUGCAAAAAAUAGAUUUUAAUUUGAGCAUCACAUUUUAUUCUGUUUCCCAGCGCGAUCCUCAUAUUCUGAAAAUAUAUUUUAUCCUCAUACUCUCUUUUGUCAGCUGAAAAUUAUAUUUUAAUUCAUGUACCAGGAUUCAUUCAUUCUGAUUCUCUGCGGCCGCAGAGCACGUGUUGACUGAGGGGUCGCGACAGUCUACCCCUCCACCCUCUAAAGAGACGAUAUGAGGCGUCAGGUGUAUAUGGUUGCUCGAGAACUUGUGACAGGUGUAUCGGUGGGAAAAGAACUUUAGGGUAUAUAAGAAACGAGACAUUCUAACAUUUUCCAUGAAGAAAUUCGGGGAUCAACAUGAUGGCUCAUGGCAAGAAAACUUGUUGAAAUUAUAAGGUAUUUCUUUUCUCUUAAAAACAUUGUUUAAAUAAACACUUUAUGUAUUCUCAGCUUUAAAAGUUCAAGCUGAAAUUCACCAGGUGCCUGAGUAUCAGGGUAAGCUUUUCUAUUAAUUUUUCUUUUAUUUUAACCCUUCUGUACUUUUUUAAAUAUGUUUUUCUCUUUAAUAAUGUUACAGCGGUAGAACUAGAGGGUAUUAGCCUCACUCUGAUGGAUCCAGGUACCGUAUCUCUCUCUGUGUUUUUUUUGUUUUUGGCCUCUGUUAUUUAGUUCUGGUGGAAAGCGACAGUCUCGCCGAUGAUUUGGAUUUGAUUCUAACUGGGGCUUUGGCAGCGAUCUCACGAGAUCGCCGUGUUCAGUCCUCUCCUCCGAGAAGUGGAGAUGGCGUAAUAGAAAUAUCAACAACUCCGAGGGCAGUGAGGCCGCAAGUCGCGAGCGUGACACCCAUCUUAAAAAUCUGUGACGCGCCCCAGCGAGCGAAGAGACGGAGAUUAGUCAGUAAGAGUCCGUCGCUAGUGAAGAGGUUAUUUACAGAUUCAGUCGAAUCACCCACGUGUUCACCCGCGUGUUCAACCAGGGAAGUGGGUCGUGGAUCUCAAUGCGUGAUUAACGAGACCGAAGCGGAGACCGAAUCGGAUAACGGCCCAGAACCGAAUCAGGAAGCAGAGCGAUGACGGAGAGAGCGCCAGAGUCCCACUAGGCCUCUGUUUAAGCGCAGGUUUCCUCAACAACGGUUUAACGCCAACGUCUCUAACCAGGAAGGGAGACCUGAACGGGUCCGUCGGCUGAGAAUAGCGCCACCUCUCCGCCAGCACCGUGACAGCGGAAUCUUGCGGCUCGCCGAAAUAACGAGCGAUUUGAUUCGCGACCUGAUUCGCGACUACAGCGCCACGUUUUCUAACGCGUGUGAAAAAGGUUUUGUGUGAAAGGUUUGAAUGCAUGUCCGUGUCGAGGUAUAUUUUGAUGUUGUGAAUUCAUGUUUUUGAAUGUAUGUUAGCGUCAGGGAAAUAUUUCUGACGUUGUGAAUGCUGGGUUAUAGAUAGGGGAAAAUUAUAUAAUAAAAGUGUGCAAGAAAAAUAAAAAAAUCAUUUAACCCUGA